rnacentral:tRNA from 1 species
GGAGAGGUGACCGAGUGGUCGAAGGUGCACGACUGGAAAUCGUGUGUACGGCAACGUACCGCGGGUUCACUUCGCGCCUUCGGCG